rnacentral:tRNA from 1 species
GGGCCGGUAGCUCAGUUGGUAGAGCAUCGCCCUUUUAAGGCGGCUGUCGAGAGUUCGAGCCUCUCCCGGCUCACCA